rnacentral:rRNA from 1 species
AUUGAACGCUAGCGGGAUGCCUUACACAUGCAAGUCGAACGGAGUGGCGAACGGGUGAGUAAUGCCUCGGAACGUGCCCAGUAGCGGGGGAUAACUACGGGAAAGCGUAGCUAAUACCGCAUACUAUUGGAGCGGCCGAUGUCGGAUUAGCUAGUUGGUGGGGUAACGGCUUACCAAGGCGACGAUCCGUAACUGGUUUGAGAGGAUGAUCAGUCAAACUGGGACUGAGACACGGCCCAGACUCCCACGGGAGGCAGCAGUGGGGAAUUUUGGACAAUGGGCGAAACCCUGAUCCAGCCAUCCCGCGUGUGCGAUGAAGGCCUUCGGAUUGUAAAGCACUUUUGGUAGGGAAGCGGUACCUGCAGAAUAAGCACCGGCUAACUUCGUGCCAGCAGCCGCGGUAAUAC